UUGCCCUAGUAACGGCGAGUGAAGCGGCAACAGCUCAAAUUUGAAAUCUGGCCCUCGUGGUCCGAGUUGUAAUUUGUAGAGGAUGCUUUUGGUUAGGUGCCUUCCGAGUUCCCUGGAACGGGACGCCAUAGAGGGUGAGAGCCCCGUCUGGUUGGACACCGAGCCUCUGUAAAGCUCCUUCGACGAGUCGAGUAGUUUGGGAAUGCUGCUCUAAAUGGGAGGUAUAUGUCUUCUAAAGCUAAAUAUUGGCCAGAGACCGAUAGCGCACAAGUAGAGUGAUCGAAAGAUGAAAAGCACUUUGAAAAGAGGGUUAAAAAGUACGUGAAAUUGUUGAAAGGGAAGCGCUUGUGACCAGACUUGGGCCCGGUCAAUCAUCCAGGGUUCUCCCUGGUGCACUUGGCCGGCCCAGGCCAGCAUCAGUUUGUCGCGGGGGAUAAAGACGUUGGGAAUGUGGCUCCUCCGGGAGUGUUAUAGCCCUUCGUGUAAUACCCUGCUUCGGACUGAGGUUCGCGCAUCUGCAAGGAUGCUGGCGUAAUGGUCAUCAGCGACCCGUCUUGAAACACGGACCAAGGAGUCGUCUUCGUAUGCGAGUGUUCGGGUGUCAAACCCCUACGCGUAAUGAAAGUGAACGCAGGUGAGAGCUUCGGCGCAUCAUCGACCGAUCCUGAUGUUCUCGGAUGGAUUUGAGUAAGAGCAUACGGGGCCGGACCCGAAAGAAGGUGAACUAUGCCUGUAUAGGGUGAAGCCAGAGGAAACUCUGGUGGAGGCUCGCAGCGGUUCUGACGUGCAAAUCGAUCGUCAAAUAUGGGCAUGGGGGCGAAAGACUAAUCGAACCUUCUAGUAGCUGGUUUCCGCCGAA
rnacentral:rRNA from 1 species